AUUUACACAAGUAUGGCCCAGCCAAAACUAUUUAUGCAAAUUGAACAUGUGACUCAAUUUAUUUACAUGAAAUGUCUCUUUAACUGCACAUACUUUCUUCUUAUUUUUUGUCAGUGUAUUUAUUGCUAUGGCCUUAUCAUUUUAUCCUUGCUUUUAAAAAAAAAAAAAAAUUAAACUUGCUCUAUGAACCAACUUUUAUUAGUAAAGGAAUCAAAUGUCAAACAAGAAUAAAAGUGGCUCAAAAAUAAAAACUGCAAAUAAAAAAACAUGUGUUACUGAGGUUUAAAAUAAACCGGUCCAAAUUACUUUUGAAAACAAAUAAAUAGACGUCUAGGCUUGUCUGGAGUUCUAGAAUUUCCCAGAUAGACAUCUUCUCUUCAUCUUCAAUCCUAUCUCAUCUCAUCACCGAUGGUGUGUAAAUGAUGGUGCACCGCUUCUUUGGUGGUGUUUCAUAGCUCCAACGUGGUAAGCCCCAUGACGCCUUCGGUAUCUUCUUGACACUCGAGAUCUACUUCUCCAACCACCACCCGAUUGCUUUGUAGAUCUUAUCAGCUGUGAUCCUUGUUAAACUCGAUUUACUACUUUCUCCAUUCCUUUUGACUUGUUCAGAAUUUACUUUCAAGGACUGUGAGAAGCCAGUGAGAUUUAUUAUCUAUAGAGUGGAGAGUAGGUGAAUUUCGCGAAAAAUGUGAUUGAUGUGCUAAUAUCAACUUUCGUGAGUGGCAAGUCCAUGCUUGAGUUAGAAAUAGAAAGUUUUAAUUAAUUUUUAUUUUUUAUUGCAUGUUAGAAAGUGAUUUGGACAUUGGAACAGAGCAGUCUACCUUUUGGAUAAAUCUCAACAAUAAGUGUUUUUUUCCUAAAAUAUUCAUUGAGAGUUCUGAAAAUUUUGAUAAAAAUUAGAAAAAUGUUGAUGAAAAAAAUUCUCAAGGUUGAAUUUGAGAUAAGAAUCAUUGAGAAGAACUCAAGAGUUAGCAAAAAAAAAAAAAAAAAGGAAAAGUGAGAAAACAAAGUGAAAAAGUAAGAAGAUAAUUCAUUUAAUGUGAAAGAGUGGUGUAUUGUCGCUACUAAAUUACUUCCAUCAUAGUUGUCUAAUACAAGAUCACUGAGGGGUGAGGAGAGAUUCUAUCAAAUGGUAAAGGAUUUAUUUUGCAUGUUUCUGGAGUUAUUACUAUCGUCGUUCAUUAUUGUAAUAGAAUCGGUCCAGUGAAACAUGCGUGGUUUGAAAUUUUCAACAAUAAUGUAGAGAUCGCAAGGAGAGAUAGAGGGAA